AUAGGUCAAGUUUUAAUGGGAAUAUUAUAUACAUUGCAUACAACUAUAUGUUAUAUAUGUAGAGUUAGCAAGAAUAUUAUUUUUCCAGGUUUGCAUAAAAUCAUAUGAAUUAAGAGGUUUUUUUAUAUUUGGGGGAAAAAAGCCAAAACUGGAUCAUUUCUUAAAAAUUUUAGGUUAUACAUGCAUUUAAGUAGCAGGAAUGAAUGUAAUAGAACCUUAGCAAGAGAAGCUGGGCAGUUUCAUAACAUGUUGCUUGGGAGUUUCCUUGGCAACUGGGUCACAAUGAAAGCCCGUAAAAAUAAAACAAGGGUAAUAGUAAAAAAUAAAUUCAUUCACAAUUUCUAGUAGUCUAGUCAAGAGUCCUAAUCAUUGUGAAAUAAACAUUUAACUCCUAUACACUGUGUAUUCUAUAGCAGGUGUGGACCCAGGAUUUUUCAUCAGAGUGGGUCACAAAAUUUUGAUAAAAGUUAAUGCAUAUUCCAAAGGUUGGUUGAUAUUUUACUUAUUUUCCAUAGGGCUCGUAUUUCGUGACUCACUUGUUAUUGCUUGAUGUUCAUAAAAAAAAUUACAUAAGUUGAUAUACAAAUCUCGUGGGAUUCAUCAUACUAGCCCCAGGGGUGGUGGGGGGGUUUAUAACCCCCAAAACUACCACUCUGGAUCCUCGCAUGUUUUGUUAAUUGUUUAUUUGACUAUGGUUAUGACGUGUGUCUCUACGAUUUACCUCCCUGUUGUAUAAGUUUGCAUACAGCAUUCACUUAUUUAAUCAUUCUCACUAACAUAUUAGCAUUUGCAUUUAAUUACUUCUUGCCAUACCAUUAUCAUAAAUAGAUUUCUUCUUUUUUGUUUGUAGUUUGCUUAGUUUUAUAAGUUAUAAGGUUAGUGCAGGGUUUUAUCAAACUAUUACAUAUUAUUCUGGAAUAUAACCAUUAUUUUCUCACAUUUUCUCAUCUAUUCUGUUUACACCAGUUGAAGACACUACAUAUUUCACGCCAUUUAUUUUACACAUAAAAUUAGUUUGUUUACUAGACAUCACAGGUUUACAUAUAUUUUACACUUAUACUGGGUGUUUUUUGCUUCUAAUGAACAAAUAUCUUUUUGACCUGUCUAUAAGGCUAAGAUUUAAGUUAUAGCCCUCUUAAUAGUUGGUGAAUAGCCCGUCUUAUAACUGAGUGCAUAGGGCAGUUGUCCUGCAUGAUAUGAUAACAGUAUAAGGCAAGGCCUGUCUCACAUCAGUGGAGUCUUACCUGGCUCUAUUCUCCUGACUGAUUUAAUGUAAAUUUUAAUUUGGAUAUCCCCCAAAAUUGUUAAUGGACAGUUCCAUAAAUGUUAUCUAGACUAGUCCAUUUAAGAAACUUGGUUAAAAUGUGAAUAUUUUAGUAUAAAUUUGAGCCAAUUUAUCACUUUUAUAUAUCCAUUAAAUCAUUUAUUUUGAAAACCCGUGAGGUUACAGUAUUCUUUUUUACUCUUGGUCAAACUGACCCUCAUCUUAACAUCUUGACAAUUUGUGGUGAAAUACAUGAAAUGUUCUCAUUUUCAAACAUGUAUGUUUAACUUUACAAUGUAACAUCAAAUUUUUCACAAUUUAUGCUAAAUGUAAAAAAAGAAUGGAUUGAAUCAUACAUGUCCAUUUCACCUUGGUCAUUACAUUGAGUGGGAUAUCUUAAAACAUAACUAUUAUUAUAUGCAUAUUUCCUUUCAUAUUCCGGGUAAUAAAAUGUUUCCUUAUUUUACUUUUUAUUUUCAUGAAAAUAUUAUGGUUGCGUAAGACAUAAAAACAAAAACAAAAUUUCUGUUUGGUCUGCACCGUUUGCUAUAUCUUUCAAUGUAUAUUUUGAAUUUUUUCCCCUAAAAAUGAUAAAUGGUUUUGUCCAGAUUAAAAGACGGACAAGUCCAUUUAACAUUUUUAGCGUGAUAAGGGUUACAGACAAAUUUUCAAUCACAUGGUUGUCCCUGAUUAAAUAUCUGUCAUUUUUACUCAUUGAGUUACAAUAAUAACUUCUUUUUUACUGAAUUACGAGUUUUUUUACAGCAUAAAUUUGGUAAUAGUGAAUCAAGAUGAACUUUUUUGUGUGUGUGUAAAAUAUAUCUACCAUUUUCUGUAUCAUGUACAUGACAAAAUGUUUUUUACUUCAUUUAUUACAUGUAUAAAUGUGUAUUCUUGGAAUGUUGAUUUUUUUUUUAAACAUUGAUUUUUUUUCCUCUAUAAUUUAAGUGUGUUACAGAAUUUCAUUGUAUAUGACAUAAUGCAUGUAUAUUCUGUUGAAGGCAAGAAAUUUGCCAUGUAUUAACUAUACAGCAUAUGACUGGCUGCCCCUUGAUGAAGUUGAAAUGUGACUGAAGUGUUUUACCGUGUAUUGUAUAUAUGAACUAUAUAUUUGAGCCUAGCCAUGACAAAACCAACAAAGUGCAUUUGCGACCAGCAUGGAUCCAGACCAGCAUUCACAUCUGCGCAGUCUGAUCAGGAUCCAUGCUGUUCGUUUAUACAAACCCUUUUACAAGUAGAGAAACUGAUCGUAAAUAUCAUGGAUCCUGAUCAGACUGCGUGAAUGGGCAGGCUAGUCUGGAUCCAUGCUGGUCGCAAAUGCACUAUGUUGGUUUUGUCAUGGCGUGGCUCAUUCCUUGUUUUUACUUUGUGUAUCAUAUUUUCACCUUAUUUGGUGCUUUCUUUUGACUGAAGGUUGGUUUACCCUUAACCUGCUGAAUUUCGAUAAUGGAUUUGCCCAGCUUUGAAUUUGGAACAGUCCAUUCAAAGUAUAAGGGAUUUCGAUAUCAAAAUACAGAAUUUUAGAGUUAUCAGCAAGUAUAGAGCCUGGUCAGACAUCUUGGAAGGCUGGCCUGGUGAUACUGAUGGUAAAGGUUUAACACUUCAGGUUCCAGCAGGUUAAGGGUUAAUUGAGCCGUGUCAUGACAAAACCAACAUAAUGGGUUUGCGACCAGCAUGGAUCCAGACCAGCCUGCGCAUCCGCGCAGUCUGAUCAGGAUCCAUGCUGUUCGCUAUCAGUUUCUUUACUUGUUAUAGGGUCUGCCAGCGAACAGCAUGGAUCCUGAUCAGACUGCGAGGAUGCGCAGGCUGGUCUGGAUCCAUGCUGGUUGCAAACCCAUUAUGUUGGUUUUGUCGUGAAGCGGCUCAAUUUUAAAUUCAGUUCAGGACUUUUAGACUUUAGAUGUUCAAAAUAGUGUACUGCAUAAAUUUGUUAUUCACAUUUUAGAAUAAGGUAAUAUUUUCCUCUUUUUUUUUUCCAAGAUUUUUCUUUUUUAAUGAAGGCAAUAACUAAUGAUGUUUAUUUACAUUAUAUGAACUUUACAACCAUUACAUUGACAGUUUGAUUUAAAAGCAAGCCCCCUUUAAGAUAUAUUGAUGCAUUGACAUUGACCAUGAUGAAAGUCAAUAUUUUUACUACUUAGUAAUCAUCAACUGUUUUAAAUGUAUUAAAGAAUUAUUAAAUUUUUGGGUAAGUUUAAAAUAGUUUUUGAACAUGAUCUGUUAAGAUUCUUACAGGUUCAUUCAUAUUUUUUUUUUUUCUUUUCUUGUGCCUAGAUAUGUAUUCAAGAUAAUCUGGUAGUGUUCUUUUCAUAGUAUUUACUCAAACCCUGCUGGAAAACAAAAAUGAUUAGCCUUUGCCAUCAGUAUAGAGCCAGGCCAACCUGUAUAUCUAUGCAGUAAGGCCUGGCUCAACACUAAGCAGAUUCAAAAUGUUCAUCUUGAUAUACCCAAGAUUGAUAAUGGACUGUUCCAGAAAUGGAAGCUGGACUGGUCCAUUGAAGAAAUUCAGCGGGUAAUGGGUUAACUGUACAUAUUAUAAUCACUGCUAAAAAUGUAAAAAUGUGUUCACCAUUACAAUAUGACCCCCCUUUGUUGUUGAGUGAAAUCUUGUAGCACACAUGUACUUGCAAUAUACUGCAUGAAAUAAUUCAGACACAAAACAUAUAGGUUCUUUUAUACCAUCAUGUUAACUAAAUUUCCGCGAGAAUUUUGUUUUUUUAGCUGCGAUGAUGUAGUUGGAAAGUUAAGGGAUGUUUAUAAUUUGGUUUCUUUUAUUUUUCUCUGUCUUAUUUAAGGGGAUUGGUUUUGCCAUUAACUAUUUUUUUAUCAAAAUCAAUCAAUCAAUACUUUCAAUUCUGGUUUCUUAUUGGAUAAAACAAAAAUCCUACAGAAUUAUAUGAGCUUUGUAUAACUUUUAUAAAUAAUAAUAUAAAUCAUCAUCGUGUAUUGUAUUCAAAUGAAAAAUGUCAAAAAUCAUAUUGUAUCCGUAGCCAUAAGGUCAAGGUCAGAAAUUGAGAUUAAAAAUUGGGCAUUGUAUACAUCUCAUUGGCAUCUAAUUAACAAAAAAUAAAUAUUUAAACUAAAAGAUUUAUUUAAAUGGAUUGACUGAAUUAUGUUCUCCAUAUUUCACCAGUAUGAGUGAAAUUCUUAGUAAUGUUUGAGCUUAUUUUUUAAUGAAUUAUUAAAAAAAAUAAAAUGAUAUUGUUUUGAAUAAUUGCAUGUAGUCUAUAAGGUGUUUACCCCACCCAUUGAAAAAUUGCAGCAAUUUAUAUUUAGACAUUUUUAUAUGUACAUUUGUAAAUAGAUUCAUCGUCCGUAGGAAAAGACUGUAUAGUAGAGAGGCAGAAAACAGUUUGGUUUUUAUUUUUGACAAGAAAAUAAUAUAAUACAUAUAUUGAUAUUAUUCAAAAAUCGCAAUAAGCAAGGGUAUGAAAGGGUUUGUGUUGAAACUUUUUUUGUUUUAUCAGGGGAGGUAAUUACUUUUGGUUAUCAGGGGAGGUAACUGCUCUUGGUUAUCAGGGGAGGUAAAUAUUCUUGGUAAUCGAGAGAGGUAAUUACAGGUAAACAGGGGAGGUAAUUAAGGAAGGCAAUUACUCUAUGUUAAAAGGGGAAGUAAUUGCUGUAGGUUAUCAGGGGAAGUAAUUAUGAUUAGUAAUGUUUUCAAGAUCUCUGUUGUACAGUUUAUGAAGUGUGUUUUUGUUUUUAUUUCAAGAGUACAUGAAACUGUUACCUGUUAUAUAUAUCAGCUUAGAAACUUUUUGUGUAAAUGGCAUAUUAAUUUAAAUAAAAUGCCUUGUACAGAAUAAAAUUUAAAUGAAGUGAGA